UACGAAGGGGGCUAGCGUUGCUCGGAAUCACUGGGCGUAAAGGGCGCGUAGGCGGCGUUUUAAGUCGGGGGUGAAAGCCUGUGGCUCAACCACAGAAUUGCCUUCGAUACUGGGACGCUUGAGAGUGGUAGAGGUUGGUGGAACUGCGAGUGUAGAGGUGAAAUUCGUAGAUAUUCGCAAGAACACCGGUGGCGAAGGCGGCCAACUGGACCAUCACUGACGCUGAGGCGCGAAAGCGUGGGGAGCAAACAGG
rnacentral:rRNA from 1 species